CAGCAGCCGCGGUAAUACGAAGGGUGCAAGCGUUAAUCGGAAUUACUGGGCGUAAAGCGUGCGUAGGCGGUGAGUUAAGUCUGCUGUGAAAUCCCCGGGCUCAACCUGGGAAUGGCAGUGGAUACUGGCUCGCUAGAGUGUGUCAGAGGAUGGUGGAAUUCCCGGUGUGGCGGUGAAAUGCGUAGAGAUCGGGAGGAACAUCAGUGGCGAAGGCGGCCAUCUGGGACAACACUGACGCUGAGGCACGAAAGCGUGGGGAGCAAACAGGAUUAGAUACCCCGGUAGUCCCUGUCUCUUAUAA
rnacentral:rRNA from 1 species